AGCAGUGAUAAACAUUAGGCCAUGAGCGAAAGCUUGACCUAAUUAUGGCUAAGAGGGCCGGUAAAUCUCGUGCCAGCCACCGCGGUUAUACGGGAGGACCCGAGUUGAUAAAGCCCGGCGUAAAGCGUGGUUAAGAGCACAAUAAACUAAAGCCGAAGACUAUCAAAGCUGUCGUACGCAUGUCGAGAGCACGAAGAACACUUACGAAAGUAGCUUUAACCAUCUGAGCCCACGAAAGCUAAGGCACAAACUGGGAUUAGAUACCCCACUAUGCUUAGCNGUAAACNNAGGUANNNGNNNUNNCCCCCUACUCGCCAGGGAACUACNAGCGNNAGCUUNAAACCCAAAGGACUUGGCGGNGCUUUAGACCCACCUAGAGGAGCCUGUUCUAUAACCGAUAACCCCCGUUAAACCUCACCUCUCCUAGUAAACACAGCCUAUAUACCGCCGUCGUCAGUCUACCCCGUGAGGGUUGAAAAGUAGGCAGAAUUGGCACAGCCCAAAACGUCAGGUCGAGGUGUAGCUCAUGGAGAGGGAAGAAAUGGGCUACAUUUUCUGACCAAGAAAAUUACGGAGAAUUGCACUGAAAUACCGCAUAUCGAAGGAGGAUUUAGCAGUAAGAGGGGAACAUAGUGCCCCCCUGAAACCGGCUCUAAAGCGUGCACACACCGCCCGUCACCCUCCCCGAAAUUGCGCACUAGCUACUAAUUAAGAAACAACAGCUUCAUGAGGGGAGGCAAGUCGUAACAUGGUAAGUGUA
rnacentral:rRNA from 1 species